CUAUUGAAUUUAAAUACGAAUGAAUAUCCCUGAUGCCUUUGUGCUCUACAAAAUUGAAAGCAUAAUUAUGCCUACAUAUAGCCAAUGACAUCUUCUCUCGAUAAGUUUUUUGAUCUAUUGGCUCAUUUUGACCCUCUUUAGCCUUAUCCGGGUUAUGUUUCUCCAAAUGACGCUUUAGAUUUGUUGUUCCAAAUGUAGG
rnacentral:lncRNA from 1 species